rnacentral:rRNA from 1 species
AUGAGUGCAAAAUGUGCAUUCGCACCGACCAGAAAGAGAGAGAUGUAUGCAUACUCUGCAGCCCUACAAAGGUACCGUAAGCUAAGGAAUUUUAGUCACGCAGCAUGUUUCAAGGCAUGCCACUCUGAUGAGGCAUUUCAGCAUCUAAAAAGGGUUUUGGAAGGACAAGAUGUUUGCAAGGGAUCAACAAGUGAACAAGAUGAUAGCAAGGGAUCAACUAAGGCUCAGGGUAACAAUAUUAGGUUUGGCCCGCUGAUGCCACAAUCGGUUAACCUUGAUGGUGAAGGUUUCGAAAAGGUUCUGGAUCCAGUGCAUGUGCCAGGCCGAGGAUCUCAAAGCAGAACUAUGAUAGCUACAACAUUGUGUGCACGGUCGGACAACAAGUACGUGGACGAUCAACCUGAUGUUGGCGUGUGCAUUGUUGUCUAUGUCUAG